rnacentral:rRNA from 1 species
AUUGAACGCUGGCGGCAGGCCUAACACAUGCAAGUCGAGCGGAUGAAGGGAGCUUGCUCCUGGAUUCAGCGGCGGACGGGUGAGUAAUGCCUAGGAAUCCGCCUGGUAGUGGGGGAUAACGUCAGGAAACGGGCGCUAAUACCGCAUACGUCCUGAGGGAGAAAGUGGGGGAUCUUCGGACCUCACGCUAUCAGAUGAGCCUAGGUCGGAUUAGCUAGUUGGUGGGGUAAAGGCCUACCAAGGCGACGAUCCGUAACUGGUCUGAGAGGAUGAUCAGUCACACUGGAACUGAGACACGGUCCAGACUCCUACGGGAGGCAGCAGUGGGGAAUCUUGGACAAUGGGCGAAAGCCUGAUGCAGCCAUGCCGCGUGUGUGAAGAAGGUCUUCGGAUUGUAAAGCACUUUAAGUUGGGAGGAAGGGCAGUAAGUUAAUCCCUUGCUGUUUUGACGUUACCAACAGAAUAAGCACCGGCUAACUUCGUG